rnacentral:rRNA from 1 species
GCAUAUCAAUAAGCGGAGGAAAAGAAACCAACAGGGAUUGCCCUAGUAACGGCGAGUGAAGCGGCAACAGCUCAAAUUUGAAAUCUGGCUCUCUUUGGGGGUCCGAGUUGUAAUUUGCAGAGGAUGCUUUGGCAUUGGCGGCGGUCUAAGUUCCUUGGAACAGGACAUCGCAGAGGGUGAGAAUCCCGUACGUGGGCGCCUGCCUUUGCCGUGUAAAGCUCCUUCGACGAGUCGAGUUGUUUGGGAAUGCAGCUCUAAAUGGGAGGUAAAUUUCUUCUAAAGCUAAAUACCGGCCAGAGACCGAUAGCGCACAAGUAGAGUGAUCGAAAGAUGAAAAGUACUUUGGAAAGAGAGUCAAAAAGCACGUGAAAUUGUUGAAAGGGAAGCGCUUGCAGCCAGACUUGCCCGCAGUUGCUCACCUAGGCUUUGGCCUGGGGCACUCUUCUGCGGGCAGGCCAGCAUCAGUUUGGGCGGUUGGAUAAAGGCCUCUGUCACGUAUCUCCCUUCGGGGUGACCUUAUAGGGGAGGCGUAAUGCAACCAGCCCGGACUGAGGUCCGCGCAUCUGCUAGGAUGCUGGCGUAAUGGCUGUAAGCGGCCCGUCUUGAAACACGGACCAAGGAGUCUAACAUCUAUGCGAGUGUUUGGGUGUCAAGCCCGGGCGCGCAAUGAAAGUGAACGGAGGUGGGAACCCUUUGGGUGCACCAUCGACCGAUCCUGAUGUCUUCGGAUGGAUUUGAGUAAGAGCAUAGCUGUUGGGACCCGAAAGAUGGUGAACUAUGCUUGAAUAGGGUGAAGCCAGAGGAAACUCUGGUGGAGGCUCGCAGCGGUUCUGACGUGCAAAUCGAUCGUCAAAUUUGGGCAUAGGGGCGAAAGACUAAUCGAACCAUCUAGUAGCUGGUUCCUGCCG